rnacentral:rRNA from 1 species
GACGAACGCUGGCGGCGUGCUUAACACAUGCAAGUCGAACGAAGUGGCGAACGGGUGAGUAAUACGUGGGUAACCUGCCCUCCGUGUUGGGAUAAGCCUUGGAAACGGGUUCUAAUACCGAAGAAAGGGGGAUGGGCUCGCGGCCUGUCAGCGUGUUGGUGGGGUGAUGGCCUACCAAGGGGGUGACGGGUAGCCGGCCUGAGGUGGGGACCGGCCACAUUGGGACUGGGAUACGGCCCAGCCUCCUACGGGAGGCAGCAGUGGGGGAUAUGGCACAGUGGGAGAAAGCCUGAUGCAGCGACGCCGCGUGUAUGAAGAAGGCCUUCGGGUUGUAAAGUACUUUCAGCGAGGAGGCGUUACUCGCAGAAGAAGCACCGGCUAACUCCGUGCCAGCCGCCGCGGUAAUAC